CCUACGGGUGGCUGCAGUGGGGAAUUUUGGACAAUGGGGGCAACCCUGAUCCAGCCAUGCCGCGUGAGUGAAGAAGGCCUUCGGGUUGUAAAGCUCUUUCGGCCGGGAAGAAAUCGGCGACUCUAACAUAGUCGCUGGAUGACGGUACCGGACUAAGAAGCACCGGCUAACUACGUGCCAGCAGCCGCGGUAAUACGUAGGGUGCGAGCGUUAAUCGGAAUUACUGGGCGUAAAGCGUGCGCAGGCGGUUUUGUAAGACAGAUGUGAAAUCCCCGGGCUUAACCUGGGAACUGCGUUUGUGACUGCAAGGCUAGAGUACGGCAGAGGGGGGUGGAAUUCCUGGUGUAGCAGUGAAAUGCGUAGAUAUCAGGAGGAACACCGAUGGCGAAGGCAGCCCCCUGGGCCUGUACUGACGCUCAUGCACGAAAGCGUGGGGAGCAAACAGGAUUAGAUACCCGUGUAGUC
rnacentral:rRNA from 1 species